AUUGAACGCUGGCGGCAGGCCUAACACAUGCAAGUCGAGCGGAGCGGCGGACGGGGGAGUAAUGCCUAGGAAUCUGCCUGGUAGUGGGGGAUAACGUCCGGAAACGGGAGCUAAUACCGCAUGCUAUCAGAUGAGCCUAGGUCGGAUUAGCUAGUUGGUGGGGUAAAGGCCUACCAAGGCGACGAUCCGUAACUGGUCUGAGAGGAUGAUCAGUCACACUGGAAAUGGGACACGGUCCAGACUCCUAAGGGAGGGAGGAGGGGGGAAUAUUGGACAAUGGGCGAAAGCCUGAUCCAGCCAUGCCGGGGGUGUGAAGAAGGUCUUCGGAUUGUAAAGCACUUUAAGUUGGGAGGCGUUACCAACAGAAUAAGCACCGGCUAACUUCGUGCCAGCCGCCGCGGUAAUUCC
rnacentral:rRNA from 1 species